AACUCCCACCCUUUGUGAACUUCCACUGUUGCCUCGGCGAGUUGCGUUACCCUGGAGCUACCCUAUAGUGAGCUACCCUGUAACUAACUACCCUGUAGUUAGCUACCCUGUAACUACCCUAUAGCCGGUUACUCGGGAACGCGCUUUACGCUCGCCAGAGGGCCAUAUAACUCUGUUUUAUUUGGUAUCUCUGAAUUAUACAACUGAAAUCAGUUAAAACUUUCAACAACGGAUCUCUUGGUUCUGGCAUCGAUGAAGAACGCAGCGAAAUGCGAUAAGUAAUGUGAAUUGCAGAAUUCAGUGAAUCAUCGAAUCUUUGAACGCACAUUGCGCCCAUUAGUAUUCUAGUGGGCAUGCCUAUUCGAGCGUCAUUUCAACCCUUAAGCCUUAGUUGCUUAGCGUUGGGAAUCUACGGGUUACAGCGUAGUUCCUCAAAAUUAGUGGCGGAGUUGGAGCACACUCUAAGCGUAGUAAUCUUUUCUCGCUUCUUGCAGUGGUUCUAACGGCCGGCCAUAAAACCCCCUAUAUUUCUAGUGGUUGACCUCGGAUUAGGUAGGAAUACCCGCUGAACUUAAGCAUAUCAAUAAGCGGAGGAAAAGAAACCAACAGGGAUUGCCCUAGUAACGGCGAGUGAAGCGGCAACAGCUCAAAUUUGAAAUCUGGCCUUCGGGUCCGAGUUGUAAUUUGUAGAGGAUGCUUUGGGUGCGGUACCUUCCGAGUUCCCUGGAACGGGACGCCUUAGAGGGUGAGAGCCCCGUACGGUUGGAUACCAAGCCUAUGUAUAGCUCCUUCGACGAGUCGAGUAGUUUGGGAAUGCUGCUCUAAAUGGGAGGUAAAUUUCUUCUAAAGCUAAAUACCGGCCAGAGACCGAUAGCGCACAAGUAGAGUGAUCGAAAGAUGAAAAGCACUUUGAAAAGAGGGUUAAAUAGCACGUGAAAUUGUUGAAAGGGAAGCGUUUGCGACCAGACCUUUUCCUGGCGGAUCAUCCGGUGUUCUCACCGGUGCACUUCGCCUGGUUUAGGCCAGCAUCGGUUCUCUUAGGGGGAUAAAGGCUCGGGACACGUAGCUCUUUCGGGAGUGUUAUAGCCCCUUGCGUAAUACCCUUCGGGGGACCGAGGACCGCGCAU
rnacentral:rRNA from 1 species